UUAAAAGUAAUCUUUCCUUUUCCAUUGUCUCAUGAUAACUUAUUUUCCACACGUUACCUUCUGUUAUGUGACUGUUCUAAUCAGUAAUGAGCUGUGAUUUGACCAUUUCUUUGAGGUCACUGGGGCAGGUGGCGUCCAGGAAUUUUCACUGUCUUGGGAGAGUCCAGCAUUUACAAAGAAACUUGGUCACCAUCUUCUGUGUCCCGAGACACAGCGUUCUGUGAUCGGGCAGCAUGCUCAUGGGGAAAAGCCAGCCGGGCUCACACGGGUGCUGCCAGCCCGCGUUCUCUGUGGACCUCAGAGCUGGGAAGGGUGGAGGCUCAUCCAUCGUCUGUGGCCCAAAUGACAACUCUUCUCCUGCCUGAGCUUCGCAUGUGGUUUUCAGAUGGCAGCCCCCUGAGUCAUUUGAACUUGGAGCCUGAAAGGCUUUCUGUUCAGUCAAAUGCCAGUACUUGUAAAAUUCUGGGUCUUGAUAAAGAGAAGAGUCUUUUCGGGAGCUGUGAGCGGCUUACAUCAUCUUUCCUCGUGGCAAGUUUGGAAAAAUCCCGUACUCCCAGGCGAUAUGACACGGUGAUUAAUCAUGUGAGCUCUGGAGCUGUGUGCACAGUUCAAAUCUCCACUUGGCAUUAUAGGCUGUGGGCCUUGAACAAGAUCCUUAACCCCUGUGUGCCUCAGUUUCUUCACUAGUAAAACAGAAAUGACUAUAUUGUUACCUACUUCAUCGAGUUGACAUGGGGAUUAAGUGACAGUAUAUGUAAGAUACUUUGAAACACAUAGAAGGUGCUAUGCAAAUAAA